UGGCUCCGAUCGAAAGUGACAGUCCGCCAGACUAACUAGACUGACUCUAGUCCAGAUGUGUCUUUCACGGGUAUUGUAGCAUUCAUUUUAGUCCCACUAAGGCAACGUGAGACAUCGUAGAGGAGACGAAUGUCGUCGGUAUAUGCCGCUUUCUCGCCUUCGUCGGCUAGGGAAUCCGCCCACGCUCUUUUGUCCCGCCCACAUGAGCGUUUCACUUCCUUCUCGAGAACCGAAUAGCGCUGACAGGCUACGGCUUUGGCUUCUCGUGCUUACGCUUGAACUAUCGUGGCUUUGGUAUUCCUUUGCUCCUCUAUCUUCCUCCAGGUAUCAUCUGUGAUCCACUGCUAUGUCCGGGUUCGUAGCUCAUCCAAAUUAUUCUCGCUGGUGGCGAUGAAAGCGUUCUAUAUGGCGCUCCAUUGAUCUUCUACGCUUCCACAUUCGUAGCUUCUAGGUGUCCAAAACAACUGAUUCAGGAGGCGAAAAGUUUCAUCGCGCGGAGCAGGAAUCGAACCAUCACCACACAGCAUGCUACGAUUAGAAGCUUGGUGACCCUAACCGAUUCUGAGAUGAAGAUGCCUACAAAUAUCAAAAAUCGACAGAAAAUGGAUGGAAAUAUAAUCAUUUAAUUUUUCUAGGUACCCGGGUACCUCGCAGGCAUUCCGCACUCUUUCAAAAUUCGGUCAACCUCAUCAAUAGAAAUGCUAGUUUCUAGCAGAUCUAACAAUUUCAAAUUCCUAUAAAAAUAUAUAAUUAGGUACCCUACUAGCCACCUAGGGUUAAAGCUGAUAGGGGUCCUAUAACAAAGCCAAUUUAAAGUUAGCUACAAUGCGACUAUAUUGGGGCCCUUUCCCACUUCAACCCAACUUUAAUUGUAUGUACAUACAGGAUAAUGCUUGCUUUAUGCACACCGUGUUUAUGCAUGCAUUACGGCUUGAGCAGCGUGCUUACUUGGUUAUUUCUCCCCUUGUAGAUAGGUAUACGUCAAACAUCAACCUAGACAAAAAGAAACGCGGCAAAAAGCAUAGCCAAGUUCGUGAGGGUUUGUUGCAUGAGUUGUUACCAUGGUAGCGGUACCUACACCUACUAUGUUUAUUUAUGUAAGGAGGUUCUAUUGCAUUGCAAAUUUAUAACAAAAACGAUGGAAACAUCCACUGAUCAAAUCUUUUCCAGUGCUAUUAUUGGAAGUAGCACAGGGAAACAGAAAUCAAGAUUAUCGCAAUUUUCUGAAUAUCGAGAGGAACGAUACUUUGCAAACGUUUGGGUACAACUUCUUCUCUACAUAAAUGUGCAUUUUUGUGGGAUCUGGCUGGCAUGUAGCAUUAUUGCAUUAUAUUAUCAGUACUGGAACUUAUCGACUAUUCACCGUGUCCUAUCAGUAUUGUCUUUAGUCAUUGCUGCCCCGAUAGAGUGUCUCCGCUUGUAUCUUGGAUACUCAGGAAAUCUUUUGGACAAGGUGCUAUUCUUAUUGCCC